rnacentral:lncRNA from 1 species
UGUGGAAGAGGAUUAGGGGGAGGAGGCUGAAGAUGAUGAGCACUUCAACCAUUCAAGCUCCCACAGAAGAACUUCCAGUGCACACCAAGUUGUAAUGAAGUUUUAUGAAAUUCUUAAUGAAAUCACGAUGACAGAAACAGACAGACCUCAUGAAUAUGUACAUUAUGGGACCCGUGUUCUGAGAGAUGACUGCACCUUGAGGUACAGUGCCAUCCCAAGUUUCUCCUGAAGCCAACUGGAGUUAAGGACUUCACUAGAUGAAAAGAUUGAACCUCACCCAGUAAAGGUGAAUGCAGAGAAAUAAAUAUGACUUGAUCCAAAAUCCA